ACGGGACACGUGAAACCCUGUGGGAAGCAGGAGGGACCACCCUCCAAGGCUAAAUACUACCUAGUGACCGAUAGCGUAUAGUACCGUGAGGGAAAGGUGAAAAGAACCCCGGGAGGGGAGUGAAAUAGAACCUGAAACCCUGCACUUACAAGCUGUGGAAGCACAUUUCUUGUGUGACCGCGUACUUUUUGUAGAACGGGCCAACGAGUUACGUUAAGUAGCAAGGUUAAGCACUUAAGGUGCGGAGCCGUAGCGAAAGCGAGUUUUAACUGAGCGUUCAGUUACUUGACGUAGACCCGAAACCGGGCGACCUACCCAUGAGCAGGAUGAAGCGAAAGUAAAAUUUCGUGGAGGUCCGAACCCACGAGCGUUGAAAAGCUCGGGGAUGACUUGUGGGUAGCGGUGAAAUUCCAAUCGAGCCCGGAGAUAGCUGGUUCUCCCCGAAAUAGCUUUAGGGCUAGCCUCAAGGUGAGAGAUACGGAGGUAGAGCACUGAAUGUCCUAGGGGGUAUUGCACCUACCGAAGACUAUCAAACUCCGAAUGCCGUCAUCUUAUACUUGGGAGUCAGACUGUGGGUGAUAAGAUUCAUAGUCGAAAGGGCAACAGCCCAGAUCGUCAGCUAAGGUCCCUAAAUGUAAGUUAAGUGGUAAAGGAUGUGGGAUUGCACAGACAACCAGGAUGUUGGCUUAGAAGCAGCCACUCAUUCAAAGAGUGCGUAAUAGCUCACUGGUCGAGUGAUCCUGCGCCGAAGAUUUCCGGGGCUAAAACUUACUACCGAAGCUACGGCAUCAGUAAUGAUGGGUAGGGGAGCUUCCCAUACGGGUUGAAGCAUGACCGUAAGGACAUGUGGACAGUAUGGGAGUGAGAAUGUUGGCAUGAGUAGCGAGAUGUGGGUGAGAAUCCCACAGGCCGUAAACCCAAGGUUUCCAGGGGAAGGUUCGUCCGCCCUGGGUUAGUCGGGACCUAAGCUGAGGCCGAAAGGCGUAGGUGAUGGACAACAGGUUGAUAUUCCUGUACUACCGAUAACCGUUUGAGAGAAGGGAUGACACAGUAGGAUAAGCUAAGCACACUGUUGGUUAUGUGUGCCCAAGCAUUGAGGCAGUCAAAGUAGGCAAA
rnacentral:rRNA from 1 species